rnacentral:misc_RNA from 1 species
AAUUCUCAACCUUACUAGCUUUUGCGAACUAAGGCUUGGAUGUGGGGGUUCAUUUGCUGGCUUCUUACGAGGUCGGCUCCCCUGAAAUGCAUUAGCGGUGCCCUUGUGGACCCGACUAUCAGUGUGAUAAUAUAUCUACGCUGUUAGACGACCACGCCUUUGGGGUUGUGCUGCUUCUAACCGUCCGAUCUCUGGACAACACAAUGACAU